CUCCACUAUCGCUUGCUCGCUCGCGCCCCCCUCUCUCUAUCUCUCUCUCUUUCGUUAUCUCUCUAUCUCGCUCGCUCUCCUGCUCGUUUACUUGUUGCGAUCGUUUUUCGCCGGCUCCACCUGCUUGGCGAACUCGCCCAUCACCUCUUUAUAUAUAACCGGAUCCAGAUUGCGACCCAGCAUAUAUAUUAGCCACCAAUCGCCAAUGUCCAAGCGGCGCGAAAGCGUGCG